UACGUAGGGUGCUAGCGUUAAUCGGAAUUACUGGGCGUAAAGCGUGCGCAGGCGGCUAUGCAAGACAGGUGUGAAAUCCCCGGGCUUAACCUGGGAACUGCAUUUGUGACUGCAUGGCUAGAGUGCGGUAGAGGGGGAUGGAAUUCCGCGUGUAGCAGUGAAAUGCGUAGAUAUGCGGAGGAACACCAAUGGCGAAGGCAAUCCCCUGGACCUGUACUGACGCUCAUGCACGAAAGCGUGGGGAGCAAACAGG
rnacentral:rRNA from 1 species